rnacentral:rRNA from 1 species
ACCUAGUGUUAAACGGCCGCGGUAUCCUAACCGUGCAAAGGUAGCGCAAUCAAUUGCCUCAUAAAUCGAGGCCUGUAUGAAUGGCUAAACGAGGUCUUAACUGUCUCUUACAGGCGAUCGGUGAAAUUGAUCUCCCUGUGCAAAAGCAGGGAUAACAACAUAAGACGAGAAGACCCUGUGGAACUUAAAAAUCAGCAGCCACCCUAAAACACAUUCAAUCCCACUGGGUUCACGCAUUAUAUAGGUUAUUGGCCUGCAAUUUUUCGGUUGGGGCGACCUUGGAGAAAAACAAAUCCUCCAAAUAUUGGACCACAUCUCCAGACUGAGAGCAACUUCUCAACGUGCUAAUAGCAACCAGAUCCAAUAUAAUUGAUCAAUGGACCAAGCUACCCCAGGGAUAACCGCGCAAUCUCCUCCGAGAGUCCGUAUCGACGGGGAGGUUUACGACCUCGAUGUUGGAUCAGGACAUCCUAGUGGUGCAGCCGCUACUAAGGGUUC